CUUGCUAGGAACCAGGAAGUAGAACCAGCACCAACACCUCACACCCUAAUAUAAGAUGAGGUUGAAUGGGAGAAGGCUGUUGCCUUUUGUAGAAAUACACUACUCAUGCAGAACUACUUAUCCCCCAGAACAAGGUCAGGGUGGGUCUGGGCUGCUUCUCAUCCUCAAAGCUGAGUGAGGGAGCUGACAGGAGGACUGCUCACAGGUGUGAGUCUCUGCGGUUGCUGGCCCCUGUCUGGACAGUUACAGGCUCUUUGUCCAGCCCCUGUGCUACCAGGAUCAAGGAAAAGUACAUUGGGAAGAGAUGCUAUGGUGGGGGACUGCUGGGUGAAGCGGGGUCGAGACUGUCCCCCUUCAAAGACCGAGAAGUUUGGAAGAUGAAUCCUAUGAUACGCCUGAAGACACAGGAGUUGGCUGUGGUUGACGUCAUGAUUCUGACCACAUCAAUUGCUGACAUCAAAAUUCAGUGACCUCUGUUGCUUGCUGUGAGAACCAUCCUAACCCAGAAUUUUCAGCUACAAGUGGUGUAAUUCAGAAGUUGCUUACUGAACUGAAUUAAGGGUUUGUAUUAGGGAUAAAUACUGUGGGAGUAACUCUGGUAUACUGGGUUGGUGGUUUUGUGCAGGAAGCUUAGAAUUCCACAGCUCUUAUAAUGAUUGUAUACUCUUCUGGCUUGUUUCCCAGAUUUUCUUGAAAAGGGUCAGAAGACAGGAUGAAAUUAAUGACAUAUGAAUGCUAACACCCAAUUAGAGGUAUCUUCAAAGGAAUAAUUAGGCUAGACUUAAUAAGAGGGGAUUCUGAGAAGAAAAAGCUUUAGGCAAAUUAUACUCUGAAAGAAAAGAAGAUGUGAAAUAAGGCAACUCUAGGAGAUUGGAGUUGAUUAAAACUUCAGGAAGUGAUUUUAUCUACUUACCUUAAAAGUAAUAUAAACAUAGUGAGACAAAUGAAUGGAGAGGGGUGGUCACUGAGUCCAGACUAGGAGCAGGGGUCUGAGCACUGGUACCCUUCCUCCAGCACAUAUCCGGGGACUGUAAUUUUAGGACCCCUAUUCUCUUUAUGAUGGAGAAGGAAACGGCAACCCACUCCAGUAUUCUUGCCUGGAGAAUCCCAUGGACAGAGGAGGCUAGUGGGCUACAGUCCAUAGGGUCGCUAAGAGUGGGACACGACUGAAGCAAUUUAGCAUCCUGGUGGCUCAGACGGUAAAGUGUCUGCCUGCAAUGCGGGAGACCUGGCUUUGAUCCCUGGGUCUGAUCCCUGGGUCGGGAAGAUCCCCUGGAGAAGGAAAUGGCCACCCACUCCAGUACUCUUGCCUAGAAAAUUCCAUGGAUGGAGGAGCGUGGUGGUCUACAGUCCAUGGGGUCGUAAAGACUGAGUGACUUCGCUUUCUUUUCUUUCUUUCUUAUGAAGGAGGACGAGGUUUUUGCUUUUCAAAAUAACAACAGCAGCAGCAACAGCGGCAGCAAACACUUA
ensembl:lncRNA